CUUUUUUGUCUUUUCAGGGCCUCACCUGCAGCAUAUGCAAGUUCCCAGGCUAGUGGGCAAAUCAGAAUGUAGCUGCCAGCCUAUACCACAGCCACAGCAACCCCAGAUCUGAGUAGCAUCUGUGACCUACAGAUCCUUAACUCUCUGAGCGAGGCCAGGGAUCGAACCCAUGUCCUCAAGGACACUAGUCGGGUUCAUUACCAUUAAGCCACAUUGGGAACUCCCACAGGUUUCUAAUAUGGAACAGGUGGCGGGGAGAAUUAAACAAGAUGAAGAAUGGGAAAAAGAGUAAAUAUUCUCAACCCUCGGGGGUCCUUUCUCUAUCCCCAGACUCUCAGACCAGCCGGAAUCUGAUUAUAAAUACAGUCUUUCUGUUGCAUCUAUUCUUUCGCCUUUCUUUCUCCUGGGACAGUGACAACAGGACUCUUGGUGGUUUUCCUUGUGCCUGGCAGACAUGGCAGGAUGUGGUCCUGGGAGGCUCUGGCUCCCAGUGCGGGGAUUGGUAGUUGAAGAGGAGCCAAACCUAGCCGUGGCACAGUGGGGUUGGCGGCGUCUCUGCAGCAGGCCCGGCACAGUUUGCGUAGGUCCCAGCUGAGGCAAGGAUCUUAUCCCGGCCCGGGACCUCCGUAUGCCCCGGGGUGGCCAGAAGAGGGAAAAAAGAGAGUGAGUGAGAGGCUAAACUUAUAUCAGUGGCCGCUCCUCUGGGAAGUAUGUCUCCCCUCCCAGAAGGCAGAAAAUCAGACUUCAAGUUUACCGUCUUGCUUUUAAGGCAGCGCGUCUGCAGUAACUCUACUGCCCACGUCUCAGUUUCGUCCCCUUGACAUUUUGUCAGUCCCGAGAUGCGUGGUUUUCUGGAGUCUCUUACCAUCGCUGGCAUCCACAGCAGCAUUUGCCCCUUGGUACAGUGGAGGGAGUCUUGCUUGGAGUGGUGAAACAUGGUGUUAUUUUAACACACGGCAAGGCCAUGUUGAGCUGUAUCUUUAGCAAUCGUCGUGGACUCGUGGUGGUAUAUUCAACGGGUCCUCAAAUUCAACAUUUUAUGUUAAAUAUUUCUUUUAAAAGUUAUUGUGUAUUCAUUUUGGAUAAAGUAUUGUUAUGCAUUUAUUCUAAUGAAAAUAGUUUAACAUUUAUUGAGCACAUUAUGUGUCCGACAUUGUUCUAAGAUCUCUACGUGUGUUAGCUAAUUUAGUCUGCACAAUAACCUUGUGAAUUAAUUACUGUUAUCCUUAGCUGUCAGAUGACACAGAGAUUAAGUAAUUUCCUAUGGUCACACAGCUACUAAGUGGCAGCGCCCGGAUUCAGGCCCAGGCACUGGAGCUCCAGAACAUCCGUGCUCUAUAUUACAUUUACCUUUAUUUUCUUUAGCUACAUAGGGGUGAGUCAGCAUUUACUUUAUUUUUUUUCUGGGCCACUCCCGCAGCGUGUGGAAGUUACAGGCCAGGGAUUGAACCUGUGCCAGAUCCUCAGCCUGCUGAGCCACUGGGGAACUCCCCAAGACACAGUUUCAUUAUAGCUUUAUUUGCUAUAUCAUCAUCAUUGUCUACUUGUUUUAAAAUAGGGUUUAGGGUUUAAGAAAAAAGCCUUUUGUUUUUUUAAAUUUUUUUCAUUAUAGCUGGUUUACAGUGUUCUGUCAGUUUUCCACUGUACAGCACGGUGACCCAGUCACACAUACAUGUGUACAUUCUUUCUUCUCACAUUAUCCUGCUCCAUCAUAAGUGACGAGACAUAGUUCCCAGCGCUACACAGCAGGAUCUCAUUGCUAAUCCAUUCCAAAGGCAAUAGUCUGCAUCUAUGAACCCCAAGUUCCCCGUCCAUCCCACUCCCUCCCCCUCCCCCUUGGCAACCACAAGUCUGUUCUCCACGUCCAUGAGUUUCUUUUCUGUGGAAAGCUUCCUUUGUGCCAUGUAUUAGAUCCAGAUAUAAGUGAUAUCACGUGGUAUUUGUCUUUCUUUUUGUGACAUUCUUCACUCAGGAUGAGAGUCUCUAGUUCCAUCCAUGUUGCUGCAAAGGAAAAAAGUCUUUUAACAACUCCAUUGUGGCUCAGUUGGUUAAGAACCAGACAUAGUGUCCAUGCGGAUGCCAGCUCAGUCCAUGGCCUUGCUAAGUGGGUUAAGGAUUUGGUGUUGCCACAAGCUGCAGUGUAGGUCACAGAUGUGGCUUGGAUCCGGUGUUGCUGUGGCUGCCAUGUAGGCUGGCAGCUGAAGCUCCAUAUCAAACCUUAGCCCAGGAACUUCCAUAUGCCGCAGGCACAUCUGUAGAAAGAAAAGUCUAGAGCCCGUGUAAAUUAUAUUUAUAGGGAAAAAUCAUUUUUUUAAACAUCAAAUAUCUUUGUUCCUAUAGUUAUUUUGGAACAAUGUUCAAUUUUUGCUUAAUAAUCUAAUGACUUCUUUUUAGUGUCCUUUAUCCCAUUAUUACUCAUGGAUUAGGCCAUUACAUUAAAGUUUGUACAUAAAUUGGAUAUAUUCACUUUAUUUGCAGUCCUAUCGUCUUUCCUAUAGUGGCCGUUCUGUGGUCGGCCUUAGACUGUAUCACCAUGGGAGGUGCUCGGUGUUAGGUUACAAUCUGAAAUAGCACUGUACGUAUUUUCUUUAUAUUCUAUUAUUGAACAGUGUUAAUGCUUAGUAAAUAUGAAUAGAUGAGUAACAUAUGUACUUACAAAGUCAUGACUGCAGCAGAGUUUUGUUUUUUGUUGUUUGUUUAAUGAUUCUAGUCGCUGUCUUCUAAUAAGAAAAGGAAAGAAAAUAGGCAAAAUGGGACCCUUCGUCUUUCACGAUGACUAGUUGCUAAAGAUAAGGGGACCGAGAUCCAGAAACAUACACCUUUUCCAUUAACAACCGUCCAUGAGGUGUUUAUCACUCGCUCCUAAGACUCUUGGCAUUAUUAGCAUCAUCUUCAUUUUGAGAAAACUAAAGAUUUGGGAGUCUGAGACCUCUCCCCACCCCGCCCAAGGUCACUGAGCUAGGAAACAGAACAAAGACACCAACCCUCCUUUGCUGACUCCAAGUCUGGUGAUUUUCCCACCGCGGUGCCUGAUUCCCUCAGCCCGGUACCCAUCACGCUGUCUUCCGUGGGUCUCUGUGCCUCGGUUUCCACGCUGCGUUGUUGUAGAAAAUGUGCGUGGUGAGUGUUGAACACAUCUGAGCCGUCACGCUCUGCCGAGUGAGUCCCGGGUUUUCCCACCGAAGCCCGGUCUCCUUCCUCCGUCCUUCCCCUGAACCUGCACCCUCGAUGCUGAAGGAGUCCGGAUCCGUGGGCUCCCUGGGCCUCUAAGUCCUUGUGCAUCUCAGAACCCGUCGCCUGUCUGGCCACACCGUCCUCACUGACCGGGUCUCCUGCACCGAGCUCGUCCAUUAGGAUGAACAGAACCAACGCGAAGUAUUUACACUGGUGCUGGCGGGGGAGGGAGAGAGUGUGUGUGUGCACGUGCAUGUGUGUGUUUAAAUGUGACUUCGGCAGAUGGCUGAUCUGAUCAGUCCCGUCCCUGAAAUGGUGAGUCAGUCGGUCAGUACACUGCGGGUGACAUGAGGACGGAGUCUCGGGCGGCCUGGGUCUGCUGUUUCUCCGCUGGCCAUUACGAGUCGGCUUUCGUUUCUUCGUCUAUUAGAAGCCCUCAGUGUCUGGCACGGCUUCUCCAGUGCUCAUUACAUGUUAGUCACUUGCAAACAGUCGCUCCCUGUCUUUGCAAUAAUCUGGAGAUGCAGAUAUUUUGCCUGUCUCACAAAUGGCAAAACCAGAGCUGAGAGAAGGGUAAAACCUUGCCCCAUGUCUCACAGCCUUUCCAUGUUAGAGCAGAAGCUUGAGCCCAGCUCUGACACCAAAGCCGACUCACGUAUCCCCAGCCACGCCUUCCUUUCCAAGGACGAUGUCAACGCGGUUUGCAGACCCCCAGGUGGUGGCCAAGGGGCUCCUGAGCGCAGAGGGAGAGGAAAACCUGCCGGUCACUUAGGCCCGCCGCCCGGCGCUCACAGCUGAGCAUGUUGCAAAGUGGUCAUGUUGUGACAGGUACCUUUGUGCUGCAUCGAGUGGUUUGCCUUCACCCCGCUUUCAGCUUCAUUUUAUCUUUGUCUUGGCUCAGGCCGCCGUAACAAAGCACCAUAGACUGACCAUAGGCUUAUAAACAGCAGAGAUCUGUGUCUCACGGUUCUGGAGCUUGGAAGUCCAAGAUCAGGGUACCAGCCUCUUGUCGCUGCACCCUCAUCACGAGAAACCAGGAGUGUUUCCCUCCAGGACCUCCAGGUGCCGUUCAGACCUCAAAGCAGCCAGCGCACCUCCUAGAAUUCAGUCUUCAGACCCUGUCCGCUCCCCGGGGACGGAGAGUGGGACCGGAAGUUCCAGGCUUUAAUCGUGGUUUGGUCUUUCUUCUGAGCAGCCCCAGCCUGAUGCUUAUCCGGGCGCCACCAAGAGGCACCCUUAGAACAAAAGACUGUCCGAUCACCCGGGGAAGCCCCGAGGAGUUUAGGGGCUCUGUCAGGAAUGUGGGCCAAAGAUCCUAUUUCUGUUUCUCACUGUGUCACACUAAUAAAGCAAAUAUCCAUGAGCCACAGCAAGUUGAAGAAGUAGGAGCAGCCAGUAUCUUAGAAGUCCUUCGUGUGUCUCUUCUGGAAGUGCCUGCAGACACCACUCUCUUGCCUCUUGUGACCGUCCCUUCCUUGGGUACCCUUACGUGUUUCCGUCUUAUGCGUGUGCCCACGAACAAGUGUACCUGGUCUGGACCUCAUGUCAAUGAAGUCAUACUGUCAGUGUUUAUCCUUGACGUGCUUCUUUCAUGAAACACCGUGAGGCUUAUCCCAGGGGACGAACGUAGGUGUCAUUCGGGACUUUUCACUGCAGAGUAGUAGUCCGUCCUGUAACUAGGUAUCUCGUAUCUAUCUUGCUGCAUAUUGUUUUCAACGUGGAUUGCAAAGUUUGCCUGGGUAUGUGUUACCCAUCUCCUGUUGUACACGUGCAAGAGUUUGGACUUUUUACCACACAUGUCUGGAUGUGAGGUUUUUUUAAUAAGGAUUUGUAUUUUUUUCUAU
rnacentral:lncRNA from 1 species